rnacentral:tRNA from 2 species
GCGGGCGUAGUUCAGUGGUAGAACGUCAGCUUCCCAAGCUGAAUGUCGCCGGUUCGAUCCCGGCCGUCCGCUCCA